UUAUUUUGUUAUGAUAAAAUACGUUCAUGACUUCGAGUUUGUAGAUCCAGAAGACCACGAUGCACAGGUGUAUGAAGGGAAAAGUGCUUGCGCACAUCUCUAAUGAUCCUUCCGCAGGUUCACCUACGGAAA
rnacentral:misc_RNA from 1 species